AAAAUGUUUUGCUGCUAUUAUCCAGAAUUAACCUUUGAUUUUGAGGAGUGACUUUAAAGUUUGGCAGAAAAGAAGCAGAGUCAAGGACCAGGAAUUGCUUCAGUAAAGUUGCAAGAUACCAAAUCAACAUACAAAAAUGAAUAGCAUUUCUAUAUCAUAGAAAUGAAACAGCUGAAAAAAGAGAGCAAUCCCAUUUACAAUAGCUACAAAAAAAGGGAUCAAUUUCACCAAGGAGAUAAAAAAUCUCUAUAAGGUAAAAACCAUAAAACACUGAUGAAAGAAGUUGAAAAGGACACAAAUGGAAUGUCAUCCCAUGCUCAUGAAGUGGAAGAAUUAAUAUGAUUAAAAUAAACAUACUUCCCAAAGCAA
rnacentral:lncRNA from 1 species